ensembl:lncRNA
GUCAAUCCUGCAGGCUACAUUGACAUGACACAGGCCAUGGAUAUUAUUAAAAAGAGAACAUGACUGGAAAAGAGACAGAAAAUGAGAUGAACGGCAGUCUCAGUCCGCACUGUGGGAUAAUUGUCUGCUUACAAUUUGAUGACUUUGCUGUUCUAACGUCUCCAAAGGGAAGUUUGCCAGUCAGGGGGGAGGCUCAGGCUGGUGAUUUAUGAAAAAAAGCCCUAAUCAAUAUUUGAUAUUAAUUUUGUAAAUGAAUGUCAGAAUGAUGUAGCCCUCUGGUCGUUUAACUGUUUCACGCAGUAAUGUGUUUUAUGGCACCGGAUCAGAGGCUUUUUCUUUUCUUUUUUUUACUAGAAACCUGGUCAAAGUCUGGAAUUGUGUGACAAAUGUAGGCAGCAGGUGUAGAUGGAUUACUCUGAGAAAGCUGACUGCGCCGAUACAGCACUUCAUAACACUCAACAGUCAGGCUGAGUGGGGACUGAUAAAUGUCAGUGUACUGCCGGUCACUAUAGUUAGGCGGUACUUCUCUAAUUUAUAUUACCAGCAGAUACAGGACAAGGAUGAUGACUCUGAAGAAGGAAAACGUCAAUUUAAUUGCUGACUUGAAGAUUUAACACAGGUUGAGUUGUGAUUUAUCUGAUAAAUCCAUGAACUAUCUACAGUUAACUGAGGCUAUAUCCAGGACAUAAAUAAUUAGCUGAUUGAUUGUGUUUUUUUUGUUUGUUUUUUUUAAAUUUGUAUUUACUUAGCGAGGAUAGGUUAAUUGGUAACUCUAAAUUUCCCAUAGGUGUUAAUGCGGGAGUGAAUGUGCGAAUGGUUGCCUCUGUGAGGGUCCUGCACAGUAUCUUAGCUGCUCUUCUGGAUGGAAACGUUGGAUGUUGUUCCUUGGAUCUGUUGGAGCCACUGGCCUAGCUUGGGGGUCACUGCACCUAGUGCUCCAAUUAUCACUGCGACCACUGUUACCUUCACCCUCCACAUUUUCUUGAGCUCUUCUCUGAGCCCUUGGUAUUUGUCAUGUUCAUGUUCCGUCUUCCUGAUGUUGCUAUCAUUUGGUAUUGCUACAUUUAUCAUUAUAGCUGUUUUUCUGCUUGUCCACCACCACAGUAUGUUAGCUUUUACCAGUUUGUCUAUUUGUAUGAUGAUAUUUGUGGGUGUUACAUACUGUGCAGGGGCCUGUCCUUUCAUGAUGGUUCCUCCUCUUGGAGGAGCACAGUAUGUAACACCGGCAAAUAGAAGAAGUGGCUGAUAUUGAGAAAUCCUACCAAGGGCUGGAAAAAGCUGAACUGAAAGACAGCACAGAGGCACUAAUCAUAGCAGCAAUGGAACACGCUCUGAGUAUAAGGUCAAUAGAGGCUGGAGUCUACAACACCAG